rnacentral:rRNA from 1 species
AGAGCGAACGCUGGCGGCAGGCUUAACACAUGCAAGUCGAGCGGGCGUAGCAAUACGUCAGCGGCAGACGGGUGAGUAACGCGUGGGAACAUACCUUUUGGUUCGGAACAACCCAGGGAAACUUGGGCUAAAUACCGGAUAAGCCCUUACGGGGAAAGAUUUAUCGCCGAAAGAUUGGCCCGCGUCUGAUUAGCUAGUUGGUGAGGUAACGGCUCACCAAGGCGACGAUCAGUAGCUGGUCUGAGAGGAUGAUCAGCCACAUUGGGACUGAGACACGGCCCAAACUCCUACGGGAGGCAGCAGUGGGAAUAUUGGACAAUGGGCGCAAGCCUGAUCCAGCCAUGCCGCGUGAGUGAUGAAGGCCCUAGGGUUGUAAAAGCUCUUUUGUGCGGAAGAUAAUGACGGUACCGCAAGAAUAAGCCCGGCUAAACUUCGCGCCAGCAGCCGC